rnacentral:rRNA from 1 species
AGUGAACGCUGGCGGUAGGCCUAACACAUGCAAGUCGAACGGCAGCACAGUAAGAGCUUGCUCUUACGGGUGGCGAGUGGCGGACGGGUGAGGAAUACAUCGGAAUCUACUUUUUCGUGGGGGAAAACGUAGGGAAACUUACGCUAAUACCGCAUACGACCUACGGGUGAAAGCAGGGGAUCUUCGGACCUUGCGCGAUUGAAUGAGCCGAUGUCGGAUUAGCUAGUUGGCGGGGUAAAGGCCCACCAAGGCGACGAUCCGUAGCUGGUCUGAGAGGCUGAUCAGCCACCCUGGAACUGGGACACGGUCCAGACUCCUACGGGAGGCAGCAGUGGGGAAUAUUGGACAAUGGGCGCAAGCCUGAUCCAGCCAUACCGCGUGGGUGAAGAAGGCCUUCGGGUUGUAAAGCCCUUUUGUUGGGAAAGAAAAGCAGCAGGUUAAUACCCCGCUGUUCUGACGGUACCCAAAGAAUAAGCACCGGCUAACUUCGUG